rnacentral:rRNA from 1 species
GACGAACGCUGGCGGCGUGCUUAACACAUGCAAGUCGAACGGAAAGGCCCCUUCGGGGGGACUCGAGUGGCGAACGGGUGAGUAACACGUGGGUGAUCUGCCCUGCACUUUGGGAUAAGCCUGGGAAACUGGGUCUAAUACCGGAUAGGACUACGGCCUGCAUGGGUUGUGGUGGAAAGCUUUUGCGGUGUGGGAUGGGCCCGCGGCCUGUCAGCUUGGUGGUGGGGUGAUGGCCUACCAAGGCGACGACGGGUAGCCGGCCUGAGAGGGUGUCCGGCCACACGGGGACGGAGAUACGGCCCAGAAUCCCACGGGAGGCAGGAGUGGGGAAUAUUGCACAAUGGGCGCAAGCCUGAUGCAGCGACGCCGCGUGAGGGAUGACGGCCUUCGGGUUGUAAACCUCUUUCAGCAUCGACGAAGCGCAAGUGACGGUAGAUGCAGAAGAAGCACCGGCCAACUACGUGCCAGCCGCCGCGGUAACAC